CCCCUAGACGUUCUGGGCUGCACGCGCGCUACAAUAAUACGCACAGCGAGUAUCACCGAGCUCGAAAGGGCAAGGUAAACAAUAGAAAAGGUACUGUAAUGGUUAUAGAUCCUUGUAAUUAUUGAUCUUCAACGAGGAAUUCCUAGUAAGUAUGUGUCAUCAUCACGCACUGAUUACGUCCCUGCCCUUUGUACACACCGCCCGUCGCUCCUACCGAUUGGGUGAGCCGAUGAAACUCUCGGAUGUAGGCUAUUCAUAGCCCGCAGAAGAGAUUUGAAUCGUAGCGCUUAGAGGAAGGAGAAGAACA
rnacentral:rRNA from 1 species